GACGAACGCUGGCGGCGUGCUUAACACAUGCAAGUCGAACGGAAAGGCCCUGCUUGUGUGGGGUUCUCGAGUGGCGAACGCGGGAGUAACACGUGAGUAACCUGCCCUUGACUUUGGGAUAACUUCAGGAAACUGGGGCUAAUACCGGAUAGCAGCUCCUGCUGCAUGGUGGGCGUUGGAAAGUUUCGGCGGUUGGGGAUGGACUCGCGGCUUAUCAGCUUGUUGGUGGGGUAGUGGCUUACCAAGGCUUUGACGGGUAGGCGGCCUGAGAGGGUGACCGGCCACAUUGGGACUGAGAUACGGCCCAGACUCGUACGGGAGGCAGCAGUGGGGAAUAUUGCACAAUGGGCGGAAGCGUGAUGCAGAAACGCCGCGUGCGGGAUGACGGCCUUCGGGUUGUAAACCGCUUUCGCCUGUGACGAAGCGUGAGUGACGGUAAUGGGUAAAGAAGCACCGGCUAACUACGUG
rnacentral:rRNA from 1 species